rnacentral:rRNA from 1 species
ACUCCUACGGGAGGCAGCAGUGGGGAAUCUUGGACAAUGGGGGCAACCCUGAUCCAGCCAUGCCGCGUGAGUGAUGAAGGCCUUAGGGUCGUAAAGCUCUUUCGCCUGUGAUGAUAAUGACAGUAGCAGGUAAAGAAACCCCGGCUAACUCCGUGCCAGCAGCCGCGGUAAUACGGAGGGGGUUAGCGUUGUUCGGAAUUACUGGGGCGUAAAGCGCGCGUAGGCGGACUAUUAAGUCAGGGGUGAAAUCCCGGGGGCUCAACCCCGGAACUGCCUUUGAUACUGGUAGUCUUGAGUUCGAGAGAGGUGAGUGGAAUUCCGAGUGUAGAGGUGAAAUUCGUAGAUAUUCGGAGGAACACCGAGUGGCGAAGGCGGCUCACUGGCUCGAUACUGACGCUGAGGUGCGAAAGUGUGGGGAGCAAACAGGAUUAGAUACCCUGGUAGGAUAGCG